rnacentral:rRNA from 1 species
GACCCAGCAACGCCGCGUGAAGGAAGAAGGCCUUCGGGUUGUAACUUCUUUACCAGGGACGAAGGACGUGACGGUACCUGGAGAAAAAGCAACGGCUAACUACGUGCC